AUUGAACGCUGGCGGCAUGCCUUACACAUGCAAGUCGAACGGCAGCACGGGUGCUUGCACCUGGUGGCGAGUGGCGAACGGGUGAGUAAUAUAUCGGAACGUACCUUAUUGUGGGGGAUAACGCAGCGAAAGCUGUGCUAAUACCGCACAAUCCCUAAGGGGGAAAGCGGGGGACCGUAAGGCCUCACGCAAUUAGAGCGGCCGAUACCUGAUUAGCUAGUUGGUGAGGUAAAGGCUCACCAAGGCAACGAUCAGUAGCUGGUCUGAGAGGACGAUCAGCCACACUGGGACUGAGUCACGGCCCAGACUCCUACGGGAGGCAGCAGUGGGGAAUUUUGGACAAUGGGGGCAACCCUGAUCCAGCAAUGCCGCGUGAGUGAAGAAGGCCUUCGGGUUGUAAAGCUCUUUUGUCAGGGAAGAAACAGCAGCUCUAACACAGUAUGCGAAUGACGGCACCUGAAGAAUAAGCACCGGCUAACUACGUGCCAGCCGCCGCAGUAA
rnacentral:rRNA from 1 species